rnacentral:tRNA from 1 species
UGACCUAUGGUGUAACGGUAGCACAACAGACUCUGGAUCUGUUUGUCCAGGUUCGAAUCCUGGUAGGUCAA